AUGAUCAAUGUGCAUGUCGGUCGUCCGAAGUUGCGGACGGUAAAAGGGAAUCCCGUGCAAAUCGGGAACGGUCCCGCCGCUGUUAUCCCCGCCUUGACCGAAAAUCAGGGCGCCCCACCGAGAGAACGCCACUGUGCAUACCGCAUGGGAAGGGUUCGGUUGGGGGAGGAGAGUCAGAAGACCUGCCGACCAUGCCAAUUGUGC
rnacentral:ncRNA from 2 species